ensembl:lncRNA
GACGAUUGCAACAGCCCCAGGAGGCACCUCAGCCUCUGUCCCUGCAGCAGGGAGGGACCAGCGCCAGCCCCAGCAGCCCCACGCACAUGGGGCACUCUCGGGUUGGCCCCGGGCACUUGUGCCAGCAGCAACUGGGGCCUGUCCCACCCACCAGCACUGCUAUAAAUCCAGCGUGGUUGGGGCAAAGCAGCAUUCCCUGACCCCAGGGGCAUCUGGAAACAGCCAUUCCUGUUGGGGUUGCUGCUGCCUGAGCACCCACAUCUUUGCCAGGGAGCCCUGUGAAGAGCCGCGAGAGGCAGCAGCCAUGAAGAUCCUGUUCCUGCUCUUCCCCCUGAUCCUCCUGCUGGUGCAGGGUGCUGCAGGGGAUAUGCUUAGAUGCACGCUCCAACGGGGAUACUGUGCCUUUGGGCCUUGUCGCGACCCCUCAACAGCUAUUGGAAGAUGUUCACCAGUCAGUGAGUGCUGCAAAAGAUUCUGGGCUUGACACCCUGAAAUUCCCAAGCAGGACAUUCCCUCGCUUCUGGCUCCUGGACCCAUCUCCUGAUGUCCCCUCCUGUCCCUGCCUGUGCCGUGCCCAGCUGCGGUGACAGCAGCAGUGGCAGCUGCUCCUGCUGGGCGCUGCUGGGCUGGAGCCCUCUGCUGCCAGCGCCGGUGUCUCUGGGGCAGGGGCUGCUUUUCGCGGCUUGAAUAAAGACUUGGAGCACGUUGGCAUUGCAGGGCUGGGC